AGAGCGAACGCUGGCGGCAGGCUUAACACAUGCAAGUCGAGCGGGCGUAGCAAUACGUCAGCGGCAGACGGGUGAGUAACGCGUGGGAACGUACCUUUUGGUUCGGAACAACCCAGGGAAACUUGGGCUAAUACCGGAUAAGCCCUUACGGGGAAAGAUUUAUCGCCGAAAGAUCGGCCCGCGUCUGAUUAGCUAGUUGGUGAGGUAAUGGCUCACCAAGGCGACGAUCAGUAGCUGGUCUGAGAGGAUGAUCAGCCACAUUGGGACUGAGACACGGCCCAAACUCCUACGGGAGGCAGCAGUGGGGAAUAUUGGACAAUGGGCGCAAGCCUGAUCCAGCCAUGCCGCGUGAGUGAUGAAGGCCCUAGGGUUGUAAAGCUCUUUUGUGCGGGAAGAUAAUGGACGGUACCGCAAGAAUAAGCCCCGGACUAACUUCGCGCCAGCAGCCGC
rnacentral:rRNA from 1 species